rnacentral:misc_RNA from 1 species
UUUCCGUAGGUGAACCUGCGGAAGGAUCAUUCAUAAUAAAGUGUUUUAUGGCACUUUUUAAAAAUCCAUAUCCACCUUGUGUGCAAUGUUAGAUCUCGUCAAUCUUGGCGAGAUUUUUAUACAUCAACUCAUUCUUUAACUAAUUUGUCUGAAAAAUAUUAUGACUACUUAAUUCUAAAUACAACUUUCGACAACGGAUCUCUUGGCUCUCCCAUCGAUGAAGAACGAGC